ensembl:snRNA U1 U1 spliceosomal RNA
AUAUUUAUCUAACAGGGGGAAUGCCAUCAUCACAAAGGUAGUUUUCCCAUGGCAAGGCUUAUCUUUGCACUCUAGCUGACCCCUGCAACGUCCCCCCAAAAGGGAAACUGAAUAAUAUAUGGUAGUGGGGAACUGCGUUCGUGUUCUCCCCAG